GGGCCGACCCAGCCAGGGGGAAAUGAACGAGGAAUGGAAAGAAAAGACCAAGCAGUUCAUUGACAGGGCGUUUGAGUGGGACAAGACACCGAAUGGAACUUCAUGCCCCUGCAGCAAAUGCCGUAACCAGAAGCGAGUGUCAAAGGAUACUAUGACUCAACACCUGGUCGUUCACGGGUUCACGCCUUUCUACCACACUUGGGAAUUCCAUGGUGAAAAACCAUCAAAACGUGCAAGAGAUAAGGAGGCGGAACAGAGCACACAGAUUCUAGGCACCGGAGAAUUUGAUGCUGGGAUUGACGAUUGCAUAGGUAAAGCAAAUGCGUCUGAAAAUCCAGCUGUAGAAGAGACACACGAGAAGCCGGACCAGAGUACAAAAAAGUACUACGAUACUUUGCUUGCGGCACAGAAACCUCUUCACUCACAUACAGAGGUUACUCAGCUGGAUGCAAUCACACGCCUAAUGGCCUUGAAGUGCGACUUGAACUUGUCAAGAGAUGCAUUCGAUGAUCUUCUGACCAUCAUUGCCAGCAUUCUGCCGCAAGGGCAGAUACUACCGAAGAACAUGUACGAGACGAACAAAAUCUUGAAGACACUUAAGUUGCCAUCGAUGGGAUCCAAAAAUGUUCCGGUCAGUUCAUCUUCAAAUCUGCAUGAAAGCCCGGUAAUUCGUACGACGGCUUCUCAGCCUCCGCCUUAGGCCUGCACUUCAAUCAUCAGGAUGGGCACCGGGACUCCAGGAUUUGCAUCGCGGACGCCUUUGUCGAUGGUGCUCAUUGUCUUGCAAAUUUGGUUAUGUCCUUGUGAACUUCGCUUCAUGGCGGAUCGCUACGUAGUUGUUAGUUGCUGGUUGUGUUUGAUGUACUUGAUGGAUAUAAUUGUGAACCUUGCUCUAUGUACUUGUUGGUUGACGGAUGAGUGAUACUAUGCA